UACGUAGGGGGCAAGCGUUGUCCGGAAUUAUUGGGCGUAAAGAGCGUGCAGGCGGUCCGGUAAGUCAGCUGUGAAAGUCAAGGGCUCAACCCUUGAAUGCCGGUUGAUACUGUCGGGCUAGAGUCCGGAAGAGGCGAGUGGAAUUCCCGGUGUAGCGGUGAAAUGCGCAGAUAUCAGGAGGAACACCGGUGGCGAAGGCGGGUCUCUGGGCCGUAACUGACGCUGAGGAGCGAAAGCAUGGGGAGCGAACAGG
rnacentral:rRNA from 1 species